UAAACCAGCACAGGGGAAGAACCAGGCUGAACCCCAUACCGGGCACAGCGCGGCUUCCCUGGGUGUACCCCUCACCCCACAUCAUCAUCAGCAUCCUAGGAUCAUCCUGGACGUACCAGGGGGGCCUCCACCCCACAGGGAGCAGCGCACCCCAUUGGCACCAAUGGCACCGUGAGAUGGAUGUUCCCAGGUUGCUGACACAUCUUUGAGCCCCACUGGGUCCCUCUGAGACUCAGCCCUCGGUCCCGGAGACCCGGGCCUGCUCUGGCCACACAGACUCGGCCCAGUCCAGCGCAGUGUGACUCAGCCCCAACUGCAGCAGGAGGACCCGGCCCACAGGCCCCUCGGGGGGACCCUGUCCCAGGACCCGCAAACAGG